GGUUAUAACAGGUGACGGGGAAUCAGGGUUCGAUUCCGGAGAGGGAGCCUGAGAAACGGCUGCCACAUCUAAGGAAGGCAGCAGGCGCGCAAAUUACCCACUCCCGGCACGGGGAGGUAGUGACGAAAAAUAACAAUACGGGACUCUACCGAGGCCUCGUAAUUGGAAUGAGUACAAUUUAAAAUCCUUAACGAGGAUCUAUUGGAGGGCAAGUCUGGUGCCAGCAGCCGCGGUAAUUCCAGCUCCAAUAGCGUAUAUUAAAGUUGUUGCGGUUAAAAAGCUCGUAGUUGGAUCUCAGUUCUGGGUGAGCACGGGUCCACCAUAGCAUUGGCGGACUGCUGACUUGCCCGGUGCAAAACCGCCCGGCUUCCCCCACGGUGCUCUUCACCGAGUGUCGUGGGUGGCCGACACGUUUACUUUGAGAAAACCAGAGUGCUUAAAGCAGGCGCAAGACGCCCGAAUGACUGUGCAUGGAAUAAUGGAAGAGGAUCUCGCUUCUGUCUUUGUUGGUUCCUCGGAAGGCGAGAUAAUGAUUAAUAGAAGCAGUCGGGGGCAUUCGUAUUGCGACGUUAGAGGUGAAAUUC
rnacentral:rRNA from 1 species